ACUCCUACGGGAGGCAGCAGUGGGGAAUAUUGCACAAUGGGCGCAAGCCUGAUGCAGCAACGCCGCGUGAGGGACGACGGCCUUCGGGUUGUAAACCUCUUUUAGUAGGGAAGAAGCGAAAGUGACGGUACCUGCAGAAAAAGCACCGGCUAACUACGUGCCAGCAGCCGCGGUAAUACGUAGGGUGCAAGCGUUAUCCGGAAUUAUUGGGCGUAAAGAGCUCGUAGGCGGUUUGUCGCGUCUGCUGUGAAAACUGGAGGCUCAACCUCCAGCCUGCAGUGGGUACGGGCAGACUAGAGUGCGGUAGGGGAGAUUGGAAUUCCUGGUGUAGCGGUGGAAUGCGCAGAUAUCAGGAGGAACACCGAUGGCGAAGGCAGAUCUCUGGGCCGUAACUGACGCUGAGGAGCGAAAGCAUGGGGAGCGAACAGGAUUAGAUACCCUGGUAGUCCAUGCCGUAAACGUUGGGAACUAGAUGUAGGGACCAUUCCACGGUUUCUGUGUCGCAGCUAACGCAUUAAGUUCCCCGCCUGGGGAGUACGGCCGCAAGGCUAAAACUCAAAGGAAUUGACGGGGGCCCGCACAAGCGGCGGAGCAUGCGGAUUAAUUCGAUGCAACGCGAAGAACCUUACCAAGGCUUGACAUAUACCGGAAAAGUUCAGAAAUGUUCUCCCCGCAAGGCCGGUAUACAGGUGGUGCAUGGUUGUCGUCAGCUCGUGUCGUGAGAUGUUGGGUUAAGUCCCGCAACGAGCGCAACCCUCGUUCUAUGUUGCCAGCACGUAAUGGUGGGAACUCAUAGGAGACUGCCGGGGUCAACUCGGA
rnacentral:rRNA from 1 species